UACGGAGGAUGCGAGCGUUAUCCGGAUUUAUUGGGUUUAAAGGGUGCGUAGGCGGUCCGUUAAGUCAGCGGUAAAAUGUCCGGGCUCAACCCGGGCCGGCCGUUGAAACUGGGGAUCUUGAGUGGGCGAGAAGUAUGCGGAAUGCGUGGUGUAGCGGUGAAAUGCAUAGAUAUCACGCAGAACUCCGAUCGCGAAGGCAGCCUACCGGCGCGCUACUGACGCUCAUGCACGAAAGCGUGGGUAUCGAACAGG
rnacentral:rRNA from 1 species